GCAAAAACAGGCUUGUAAAAAUAUUACGGGGUGACAUCAUCCACCUGGUUCAACAGAUCUAGCACCAUGGAAACUUUGGCUCUUCUCCAAAGUCAAAAUGACCACAACCAUGAAAGCAAACCUUCUGAAUCCAUUCAUGACGUCUAUCCCUGAAAGAGGACUUCCACAAUGGUUUCAGGAAGAGGCAAGAAUGACAGAUAGAAGUAAAGGAGAGACUUGGACUGAGAUAAACUGGCUUCAUCACAUCUGGACAAGAUAGAUACUGCCUGGGAGAGACAGACAAGAGUGGAUGCCUUUGGAUGAGAAGUAAACAUCUACGUAAACAGACGCAUUCAAGACUUACUGCUGAAUGACCAAUCACCGCACAGAUACAACACACGAAUACUGCAUGCAUUUGAUAAUAAACAGAAAUGGUUGUGUCUAAUAUGCUCUUCACAAUUAAAUACAUUGUCCAUUGUAACCGAU
rnacentral:lncRNA from 1 species